AUGGGGGCGGGAGAGGGCGGGGGCGGGGGCCGCCGGCGGCGGAAGCUCGAGGGGGACGACGGAGACGACAGCGACGAGGAGUAUGUCUUGGAGGAGGAGGAAGAUGAGGAGGAAAUCGACGAGCUGGAGUACGGCCACGGAGGAAGAGACGCCGCGUCUUCUAGUGCCGGCGAGGAGGGAGGCGGCUCGGACGCGGAGUACGAGGUGGAUGACGAGGACGAGGAGGAAGAGACGCCGCGUCCAAAGCGGCCGGUGAAGAGGAAGGCGAAUCCGGCUCCCGCGCGGUCUCGCCGGCGAAGGUAUGAGGACGACGACGAUUACUCGGAGGAGCUGGAGGUGGAUGACGAGAUUGGUGACUACCAGGAAGAUCUCGACGAGGAAGAGGAGCCACGAGGGUCCAACUGUGAGACGAAAUGUGGUGGCCGCAGCCAGAAAGCGAAAAUGCCUCCCGUGGCUCAGCGAUCUAAUCGGCCGAUGCAUGCGGAGGAGGAGGACAUGGACUUUGAUCCUGACUUGGACGAGGGGGGAGGGGACGAGGACACGGAUUUCGACCCUGAUUUGGAGGGUGACGAUGAUGAGUUUGAGGACGACGAAGAGGAGGAACUCGGUGUCAGCCACACCAGAACGAUACCGAGGCUUAAGAAUACACCCGCUUCGAAGCAGCGACGAGGGAAGAAGAAGAAGAAUAGUAAUACUAGUAAGGUUUCAAAGCGGAAGUUUCGGAAGCCUGCGCCUGUAAGGCAACGGAGAAAGCGUUCUGUCAUCGAGCACUAUGAGGAUGAUGACGACGACUUCAUCGUGGAGGAUGAACUGGUGAAGGUAAACCGUAACUCAAGGAAGAAGGCCAGGUUUGGGAGGCAGGUGGAGGUAGACCGGCCAGUGCCAGUUGCCGAGGCAGAUAUAUGGCCGGCUAUUGAUUCAGACUCAUCAGAGUUUGAGUUUGGAACAUCCGAAGAUGAACCUGAGGGUGAGCCAGUGAGAGCUGCAGUAAGGAAGGGGAGGAAAAGGAGGGGGGUAUCGGGGUCAUCCUCAGAUUCUGAAUUCCAUGUCUCGGAUAAGGAAUUGAGCGAUGUUAGAGAAGAAGAGGUUAAGACGAAGAAAAGGGUACGCGUCUUGCAGUCAUCCUCAGAUUCUGAAUUCCAUGUCUCGGGUAAGGAAUUGAGCGAUGUCAGAGAAGAAGAGGUUAAAACGAAGAAAAGGGUACGCGUCUUGCAGUCAUCCUCAGAUUCAGAAUUCCAUAUAUCAGAUAAGGAAUUAAGCGAUGUCAGAGAAGAAGAAGUUAAGAGGAAGAAAAGGACAUGUGUCUUGCAGUCAUCUUCAGACUCUGAAUUCCAUGCCUCAGACAAGGAAUUGGGUGAUAACAGGAUAGAAGAGGCCAGGAGGAAGAAGAGGUUACUCAUCUCGCAAUCAUCCUCAGAUUCUGAAUUCCAUGUCUCAGAUAAGGAUGUCAGGGACUUGGGAGAGGCUAAAUCUCUGGUGGCUCAGCCCAUGCUGUCUGUGUCCCCGAGGAGGCUUUCUUUUACAAGGAAUGGAUGGGACAAAGGAAAGGAGAAAAAAGAACUAGUAGAUGCUGGGAAGCCCUGGUGUGGGAUAUGCCUCUCUGAGGAUCAGAGGACGACUCUACAGGGAGUGCUGAAUUGUUGCUCACACUACUUUUGCUUCGCGUGCAUCAUGGAGUGGUCUAACGUCGAGUCAAGGUGUCCAUUGUGUAAGAGGCGGUUCACCACGAUUACCAAGUCAUCAAAAGUGGAUCUUGAUUUGGAGCUGAAAAAGUCUGUAAUUAAGGUUGAAGAGCGUGAUCAGGUUUAUCAGCCAACGGAAGAAGAAAUAAGGCGCUGGUUAGACCCAUACGAGAAUCUUAUGUGCAUAGAGUGCAAUCAAGGUGGUGAAGAUAGUCUAAUGUUAUUAUGUGAUAUUUGUGAUUCCUCGGCACAUACUUAUUGUGUUGGCCUGGGAAGAGAAGUACCUGAAGGAAAUUGGUAUUGUGGAGGAUGUAGACUCAGUGGCGAGGGAUCAACGCAUCCUAGAAGCCUUACUAACAGCAAUUCUGCCCAGUUAGGCAUGACUGUACCCAUUAGCACAUUUGGAAGGUCACUGUCAAUCAACACUUGGCAAACUUUUCAAGGGUUUGAUCUAAAUGCAUCGCCUAGGGAGAUUCCUAGGCAAAACAUUCAUGCCGAUUCACGAGCUUCAACUUUGGGUGUAUCAACUCCAACUGGAAGGCUUGCAACUCUUUCUAGAAGACGUGAAUGGAUGCACAUUUUGCUAGAUAGACAAAGGCUCGUGAUUAGUCAAGACACUGGACAUGAUGGUGUACAGCACAGUGGCUAUGCUCCGAGAGCCGACCCAGACCACAGGAACUUCUGUGCUUCAUCAGGAUCCAACUCUUUGCAGCACAAUGAUUUUUUGCCAAGAAUUGAACCAAAUCGCAGGAACUUCUCUAGUCCUUGGGAAGCAAACAGUUCACAAACUCUGCUCGAUGACAUUCGGGACCAGCACGGUUGCUUUUCGUCUGUUCAAGCUCAGAGAAACUCUACUCCAUGCCUUUUUGCGGAUGGAAACAAUUUCCAACAAACAGAAAGUGUCAACAGCAAUGUGAAGCACAUGUGCAGUAUAAGUCCUCAUUAG
rnacentral:rRNA from 1 species